GUCCUCGAAGUGUACCGGAUCAGCACGCGACCCUGCGAAGGUCGAAGACUUGGGUUCAAUUCCCAGCGAGGGCAC
rnacentral:tRNA from 1 species